rnacentral:tRNA from 1 species
GAGGUGUUAGUAAAAUUAUUACAUAGUCUUGUCAAGACUAAAUUACAGGUGAAACUCCAGUACACCUCA